UACGGAGGGUGCAAGCGUUGUCCGGAUUUAUUGGGUUUAAAGGGUACGUAGGCGGCCCGUUAAGUCAGUGGUGAAAGCCUCCAGCUCAACUGGAGAACUGCCAUUGAUACUGACGGGCUUGAGUACAGACGAGGUUGGCGGAAUUGAUUGUGUAGCGGUGAAAUGCAUAGAUACAAUCAAGAACUCCGGUUGCGUAGGCAGCUAACUAGGCUGUAACUGACGCUGAGGCACGAAAGCGUGGGGAGCGAACAGG
rnacentral:rRNA from 1 species